CGUCGAUCCUAUUUUGUUGGUUUCUAGGACCGCCGUAAUGAUUAAUAGGGAUAGUUGGGGGCAUUAGUAUUCAAUUGUCAGAGGUGAAAUUCUUGGAUUUAUUGAAGACUAACUACUGCGAAAGCAUUUGCCAAGGAUGUUUUCAUUAAUCAAGAACGAAAGUUAGGGGAUCGAAGACGAUUAGAUACCGUCGUAGUCUUAACCAUAAACUAUGCCGACUAGGGAUCGGGCGCAGUUUCAUACGACUCGCUCGGCACCUUAAGAGAAAUCAAAGUUUUUGGGUUCUGGGGGGAGUAUGGUCGCAAGGCUGAAACUUAAAGGAAUUGACGGAAGGGCAUCACCAGGAGUGGAGCCUGCGGCUUAAUUUGACUCAACACGG
rnacentral:rRNA from 1 species